UUUAACUCAGUGGAAUUGGGAGAUUCCAGUCCGUCUGACCUGCAGUGCCGAUGCGUAUCCUCCCGUCACUGAGUACAAAUGGUACAGAGAGGAGGACAACACCACGGUAGUAUCACACCAGCAGAACUUCACUGUUUGGCAAAAGAGCCCAGGAAUGUAUUACUGUACAGCAGCCAAUGCUAUCGGAAAAUCACAAUCCAAAAGCAUCAAGUUAUUUAUCAGCAGCAACUUUCUCAUGCUCUAUCACAUCAUCUUUCUCCUGCUGAUUCUCACUGGUGCGACCAUCUUCCUGAUACACAGGUUAAUCAUCAAGCCAAGAUUUGAUCAACAAAGUGAAACAGAUCCUUUCUACCUUUUCCAGUUCCCAUCCGAAACUACUACAACUGUAUAUUACUAUGGAACUGUCAGCAAAAAUAGCAGCAAAAAAAAUUACUGAUGCAGAAGUCCAAACCAUAGCAUCUGAAAAUAAAGUGUCAAAGAAUUCCCAAAGAGAGGAACCUGAUUAUGAGGAUGUUUGUGCUGCUUGUGCUCCACCGCCUUCAUAGACUGAUUCCAAUGCCAGUGAAAAGGAAGUGAAUUAUGCCACUGUCUUUGCCCG